UUGCAUUUUGUGCAGCUUAUGUUUUCUCAAAUGCACAUUCAUCUUCCAUGUAUCUUACUCCAAUCCGAUUCUCCCUGUUUUCCAGCAGGCUCCAUUCUUCCAUUACACUUUUAAAAAAGAGAACUGACCAUAUAAUAGCUUGCUUUGCUAGGCAUAUUAUAUAGAUUUUGCCACAUUUUUUUAUUGGCACAAAUUACGAAUUUCUUAAGCAUAUUGUUCUCGAUAUAUAUGCUUCCUAUAUGAAAAGUGAUUACACAUGAUUCAUGUCUUAAUAAAUUGAUUUGUUUCCUUUGUUUGGACAGGAAAUAGAAAGUGGUUUCACUUCUGGAGAUUCUUGUCUUUACAGCUUCUGACAAGGCUGAGGUGUUUGCGUUGUGGCAUUAAAUAUGAGAAGAAAGUGACCAUAUACGAAGGGGUCGCAUCACAUGCUGAUGCUGAAGAUUUUGGCCUACGUUGAUGUGUUUACUAAUUUCUAGCAAAUCUUGACUUGGAGUCAGUCGGUGUCAUGAUCACGCCCUUUCUCUCCUCAGUCAGCUUCUUGGUCUUCUUUCAAGGAUCCGACGCUGAUAGUCUACGGUGCUGGCCAAGUAAUACCAUCCUCUCUCACUGUUCUGGAACCAAAUCUGAAAUACACUCUUCUUGUGGGUUUAUAUCCUAAUGCUUUUUUAUGGACGUGUGAUACUGGUAAUGGAGAAGAACUUCUGUACCGAUGCUGCUGGAAACAGAAUUUAAAAGAGCUGCCAAUUCAAGUUUCUUUGUGCAUUUUGGUGAGUUUGGUUGUUCAUUCCUCAAGUUCUUUUUUGGAACCAUUAUUUGCAGCAUUUUUCUUCAAAAACUUUAUCUUUUCUGCUUUGAGCUCAAUAAGAAGGUUUAAACCAAAUUUAUAUUUUUAUUUGCAGCCUGUUGUGCAGCACAUAUGCUUUUGUUGUGAUAUUUGUUUAUGUAAAUUUGAUAAGGCAUAUGACAAAACUCCUGGUUAAAUGAUUCUUUCUUUUGAGGUGAAAGAUAUUGGGAAACCAAACUAGAAAAAUUCAGUUAUGCAUGAAGCGAAUGAGCCUCUAUUAGAAAAUCUUGAGAGAGCACAUAUACAAUUAGACAUUGAUGAAGAAGAAGCAUAUAACCUAGAAGUUAAAAAUCAUGAGAUCUUUUUUGAAGGGAACAUGGAGCAGAAGAAAGAAACUUACUUUGCAGGUGCAAACAGUUCUAGCUUGGAAAAUACGGUUGUCCUAUGGUUUGAUUUGGUUGUUAAAUACGAAGCAUCAUGUUGGGAGAUUGAAAUGCAAUUUUGGAGUGAUUGUGUUCCCCUUUAUAAGCCACAACUAACAUGCAAGGAUCUUCCAGGCUCCUUUCUACAUGGGCUCGAUCCAUGUCACCUUUUGACCACAAGUUGUUAGAUAUUAGAAUGGCUGGUGUAUCCUCAGAAACCCUUGAGCUGUCGAUUGAAGAGGGUUGGUUUUACCAUUUCUGUUCUACCUGUUGUUUUCAGGAGUAACAUGUCAAGUUUUUGGUACUUCAUUUUUAUGUUAGCAAUUUGUUUUGCUAUUGUUCUGCAAUUUAAUUUCUUGUAUCGUCUGACAUUCUUAAUCUCGGGUGUCAUUAUGCUGAGCGUGCAUCGACUUUGAACAGGUCUUCGGUAUUUUACCACAGCAGUACCAUGGCGAUGGGGAUCAUCCUUGUAAUACUUGUGGUUCUUUUUCAGGUAGUGUAGUUAUAAAGCCUUAGUUCUUGAAAUUGUGAUCGUAUCAGUUAGCCAUCCCUGUUCCUAAGCAAUAACCUCUGUCUCUUUGGAGUGAUCAAUACAAGGUGGACAACAGAAGCCAGAGGUUUCC